UACGCAAACUCGCGAGAGUAAGCUAAUCUCUUAAAGCCGUUCUCAGUUCGGACUGUAGGCUGCAACUCGCCUACACGAAGUCGGAAUUGCUAGUAAUGGCAGGUCAGCAUACUGCCGUGAAUACGUUCCCGGGCCUUGUACACACCGCCCGUCACACCAUGAGAGUUGGGAAUACCCGAAGCCUGUGAGCUAACUUUUAGAGGCAGCAGUCGAAGGUAGAAUCAAUGAUUGGGGUGAAGUCGUAACAAGGUAGC
rnacentral:rRNA from 1 species